rnacentral:rRNA from 1 species
CGGGAAUUUUGGGCAAUGGGCGAAAGCCUGACCCAGCAACGCCGCGUGAGGGAUGAAGUAUUUCGGUAUGUAAACCUCGAAAGAAUGGGAAGAAUAAAUGACGGUACCAUUUAUAAGCUCCGGCUAACUACGUGCCAGCAGCCGCGGUAAUACGUAGGGAGCAAGCGUUGUUCGGAUUUACUGGGCGUAAAGGGCGCGUAGGCGGCGCGGUAAGUCACUUGUGAAAUCUCUGAGCUUAACUCAGAACGGCCAAGUGAUACUGCUGUGCUAGAGUGCGGAAGAGGCAACCGGAAUUCUUGGUGUAGCGGUGAAAUGCGUAGAUAUCAAGAGGAACACCCGAGGCGAAGGCGGGUUGCUGGGCCGACACUGACGCUGAUGCGCGAAAGCCAGGGGAGCAAACG